GUUGUAUGGUUAAGUGACUAAGCGUACACGGUGGAUGCCUUGGCAGUCAGAGGCGAUGAAGGACGUAUUAACUUGCGAUAAGCCCAGAUUAGGUAGUAAAAACCAUUUGAGUCUGGGAUU
rnacentral:rRNA from 1 species